CACGUCAGCGCGCUUUGCUGACGUGGCAACAAAUCACGUCAUAGAGGGCGCGAUUUGUUGCCAUGUCAGCAUACCGCGCUGCCGUGG
rfam:Gossypium raimondii Chr01_contig_1001, whole genome shotgun sequence.